rnacentral:rRNA from 1 species
AGUGAACGCUGGCGGUAGGCCUAACACAUGCAAGUCGAACGGCAGCACAGGAGAGCUUGCUCUCUGGGUGGCGAGUGGCGGACGGGUGAGGAAUACAUCGGAAUCUGCCCAGUCGUGGGGGAUAACGUAGGGAAACUUACGCUAAUACCGCAUACGACCUUCGGGUGAAAGAGGGGGAUCGCAAGACCUCUCGCGAUUGGAUGAGCCGAUGUCGGAUUAGCUAGUUGGCGGGGUAAUGGCCCACCAAGGCGACGAUCCGUAGCUGGUCUGAGAGGAUGAUCAGCCACACUGGAACUGAGACACGGUCCAGACUCCUACGGGAGGCAGCAGUGGGGAAUAUCGGACAAUGGGCGCAAGCCUGAUCCAGCCAUACCGCGUGGGUGAAGAAGGCCUUCGGGUUGUAAAGCCCUUUUGUUGGGAAAGAAAUCUUUCAGGCUAAUACCCUGGGAGGAUGACGGUACCCAAAGAAUAAGCACCGGCUAACUUCGUG